rnacentral:rRNA from 1 species
GACGAACGCUGGCGGCGUGCCUAAUACAUGCCAGUAGAACGCACAGUUUAUACCGUAGCUUGCUACACCAUAAACUGUGAGUUGCGAACGGGUGAGUAACGCGUAGGUAACCUGCCUGGUAGCGGGGGAUAACUAUUGGAAACGAUAGCUAAUACCGCAUAAUAUUAAUUAUUGCAUGAUAAUUGAUUGAAAUAUGCAAUUGCAUCACUACCAGAUGGACCUGCGUUGUAUUAGCUAGUAGGUGAGGUAACGGCUCACCUAGGCGACGAUACAUAGCCGACCUGGGAGGGUGAUCGGCCACACUGGGACUGGGACACGGCCCAGAAUCCUACGGGAGGCAGCAGUAGGGAAUCUUCGGCAAAGGACGGAAGUCUGACCGGGCCACGCCGGGUGAGUGAAGAAGGUUUUCGGAUCGUAAAGCUCUGUUGUAAGAGAAGAACGGGUGUGAGAGUGGAAAGUUCACACUGUGACGGUAUCUUACCAGAAAGGGACGGCUAACUACGUG